GCGUCGGUGGUGCAACGGUAGUAGCGUUACUCUACAGGAAAGAGUGAGAUCUGGGUUCGAAUCCCGGCUGACACA